AGAUUGAACGCUGGCGGCAUGCCUUACACAUGCAAGUCGAACGGUAGAGUAGCAAUACUUGAGAGUGGCGAACGGGUGAGUAAUAUAUCGGAACGUGCCCAGUCGUGGGGGGAUAACGUAGAGAAAUUUACGCUAAUACCGCAUACGAUCUAAGGAGUGAAAGCGGGGGACCGUAAGGCCUCGCGCGAUUGGAGCGGCUGAUAUCAGAUUAGGUUGUUGGUGAGGUAAAAGCUCACCAAGCCGACGAUCUGUAGCUGGUUUGAGAGAACGACCAGCCACACUGGGACUGAGACACGGCCCAGACUCCGUACGGGAGGCAGCAGUGGGGAACUUUGGACAAGUGGGCGAAAGCCUGAUCCAGCAAUGCGCGUGCAGGAAGAAGGCUUCGGUUGUAACGUGCUUAGUACGGAACGAACGUCGUAGCUUAAUACAGUAGGCUAAGUG
rnacentral:rRNA from 1 species